GUCAUAGACCCCACGGCUGAAGCCGGGGGCUUGUCCUCCAAGCUUCAGCCGUAGGCCCAGAAGGGCCUCGCUAUGACCAGCCUCAGGGCCUGACCCGAAGGACAAGGGGAUGAAGGUCCUACGUUACCGGGGAGAGCCGAAGUUCGCACCCUGGGGUGCUCCUCCAGCUCCAGGCUCUGCAACCCGGCGGUCACAAAGCGAAGCUGGGGGUGGUGUGCUGUAGCCUGGCUGCCGGGAGAAGGCCGCCCGGUAACAUUGGCGAGGAGGGAGGCC
rfam:Ammonifex degensii KC4, complete genome.